rnacentral:ncRNA from 1 species
AACGACCGGCCGGUCACUCGCGUGUCCGGCCCGCAAGUGGAGGCUCCGAACUCCCACCUGACCGACCCCCGGGUCGGCAGGUCAUCGGUCAGGCUGCGCCCCGCGGUGAUAUCGCGGCGGUGCUCCCGGUCAAUGAGGAGCCCCGCCUGUGUACCGUCCGGGGCGUUUUCC